rnacentral:tRNA from 1 species
GAGGACUGAAAAUCCUCGUGUCGCUGGUUCGAUUCCGGCUCUGGGCA